rnacentral:rRNA from 1 species
GAUGAACGCUGGCGGCGUGCCUAAUACAUGCAAGUCGAGCGAACGGACCAUAAGCGUUCUACUCUGGUGGUACCGGCGAAUGGGAGAGUAACAAGUGGAUCACCUCUCUAUAAUACUGGGAUAACUCUGGGAAACCGGCGGUAAUUCCGGACAAUAUUUUGAACCGCAUGGUUCAAAAUUGAAAGAUGCUGUUUCUGUCACUUACAUAUGAAUCCGCGCUGCAUUUGCUGGUUGGUAAGGUAACGGCUUACCAGGGCAACGAAGCAUAGGCGACGUGAGAGGCGGGUCGGCCACCCGGGAACUUGAACAGCGUCAAGACGACUGCGGGACGCCGCAGAAGGGAACCGUCCGCAGUAGGCGAGAGCCUGACGGAGCAACGCCGCGUGAGUGAUGAAGGUGUUGCGAUCGUAAAGCUCGGUUAUGAGUGAUAAACAUAUGUGUACGUAAAUGUGCACAUCGUGACGGUACCUACACAGAAAGCCCCGGCUAACUACGUG